GGUUGAUCCUGCCAGUAGUCAUAUGCUUGUCUCAAAGAUUAAGCCAUGCAUGUCUAAGUAUAAACACUUCUAUACUGUGAAACUGCGAAUGGCUCAUUAAAUCAGUUAUAGUUUAUUUGAUAGUACUUUACUACUUGGAUAACCGUGGUAAUUCUAGAGCUAAUACAUGCAUAAAAACCCGACUUCUGGAAGGGUUGUAUUUAUUAGAUAAAAAACCAACCCGGGCAACCGGUUCACUGGUGACUCAUAGUAACUUCUCGAAUCGUAUGGCCUUGUGCCGGCGAUGUUUCAUU
rnacentral:rRNA from 1 species